ensembl:miRNA
UCGUGGCUGCUUUCCAAACCCUGCUUUUCAUAGUAUAAGUGGAAUUUGGCAAGUGCUACCAAGA